GCCAAUCUUUCCUCUGAUGAGGAUGGAUCUUCAGAUGAUGAACCUGAAGAGGGAGAGAAGAAAAGAAUUGGAAAACAGAGUGAAGAAACACCAGGUGAUGAUGGCUCCAACCAAGUCAAUUCUGAAUCGGAUUCCGAUUCUGAAGAAUCUAAGAAGCCAAGAUAUAGACAUAGACUUUUGAGGCAUAAACUGUCUUUGAGUGAUGGAGAAUCUGGAGAAGAGAAAAAGACAAAGCCUAAAGAGCAUAAAGAAACCAAAGGAAGAAAUAGAAGGAAGGUGAGCAGUGAGGAUUCAGAAGACACUGACUUUCAGGAGUCAGGUGUUAGUGAAGAAGUCAGUGAAUCUGAGGAUGAACAGCGGCCUAGAACAAGGUCUGCGAAGAAAGCAGAAUUGGAGGAAAAUCAGCGAAGUUAUAAACAAAAGAAGAAAAGACGGCGCAUUAAGGUUCAAGAGGAUUCCUCCAGUGACAAUAAGAGCCAUUCUGAGGAAGAAAGAAAGGAUGAUGAUGAUGAGGAGGAUGAAGAGGAGGAAGAUGAAAAUGAUGAUUCUAAGUCACCUGGAAAAGGCAGAAAGAAAAUUCGGAAGAUUCUUAAAGAUGAUAAACUAAGAACAGAAACACAAAAUGCCCUUAAAGAAGAGGAAGAGAGGCGAAAACGGAUUGCAGAGAGGGAACGUGAAAGAGAGAAAUUAAGAGAGGUAACCAAACUU
rnacentral:lncRNA from 1 species